rnacentral:rRNA from 1 species
UACGGAGGGUGCGAGCGUUGUCCGGAAUCAUUGGGCGUAAAGGGCGCGUAGGUGGCGGGACAAGCGUGCGGUGAAAGCUCGGGGCUCAACCCCGAGUCGGCCGUGCGAACUGUUUUGCUUGAGCACUGUAGAGGCAGGCGGAAUUCCGGGUGUAGCGGUGGAAUGCGUAGAGAUCCGGAAGAACACCGGUGGCGAAGGCGGCCUGCUGGGCAGUAGCUGACACUGAGGCGCGACAGCGUGGGGAGCAAACAGGG